AUUGAACGCUGGCGGCAGGCCUAACACAUGCAAGUCGAACGGUAACAGGAAACAGCUUGCUGUUUCGCUGACGAGUGGCGGACGGGUGAGUAAUGUCUGGGAAACUGCCUGAUGGAGGGGGAUAACUACUGGAAACGGUAGCUAAUACCGCAUAACGUCGCAAGACCAAAGAGGGGGACCUUCGGGCCUCUUGCCAUCGGAUGUGCCCAGAUGGGAUUAGCUAGUAGGUGGGGUAACGGCUCACCUAGGCGACGAUCCCUAGCUGGUCUGAGAGGAUGACCAGCCACACUGGAACUGAGACACGGUCCAGACUCCUACGGGAGGCAGCAGUGGGGAAUAUUGCACAAUGGGCGCAAGCCUGAUGCAGGCAUGCCGCGUGUAUGAAGAAGGCCUUCGGGUUGUAAAGUACUUUCAGCGGGGAGGAAGGGAGUAAAGUUAAUACCUUUGCUCAUUGACGUUACCCGCAGAAGAAGCACCGGCUAACUCCGUG
rnacentral:rRNA from 1 species